rnacentral:rRNA from 1 species
CAGCCGCCACGGGAAUACGGAGGGGGCUAGCGUUGUUCGGAAUUACUGGGCGUAAAGCGCACGUAGGCUGCUUUGUAAGUCAGAGGUGAAAGCCCGGGGCUCAACCCCGGAUGUGCCUUUGAGACUGCAGGGCUAGAACGUCGGAGAGGUGAGUGGAAUUCCGAGUGUAGAGGUGAAAUUCGUAGAUAUUCGGAAGAACACCAGUGGCGAAGGCGGCUCACUGGACGACUGUUGACGCUGAGGUGCGCAAGCGUGGGGAGCAAACAGGAUUAGAUACCCCGUAGUCCCUGUCUCUUAUACA